UACGUAGGGUGCAAGCGUUGUCCGGAAUUAUUGGGCGUAAAGAGCUCGUAGGCGGUUUGUCGCGUCUGCUGUGAAAACUCGGGGCUUAACUCCGGGCCUGCAGUGGGUACGGGCAGACUAGAGUGCGGUAGGGGAGACUGGAAUUCCUGGUGUAGCGGUGAAAUGCGCAGAUAUCAAGAGGAACACCUGCGGCGAAGGCGGGUUGCUGGGCCGACACUGACGCUGAGGCGCGAAAGCCAGGGGAGCGAACGGG
rnacentral:rRNA from 1 species